UACGAAGGGGGCUAGCGUUGUUCGGAUUUACUGGGCGUAAAGCGCACGUAGGCGGAUCGUUAAGUCAGGGGUGAAAUCCCGGGGCUCAACCCCGGAACUGCCUUUGAUACUGGGUAUCUCGAGUCCGAGAGAGGUGAGUGGAAUUCCGAGUGUAGAGGUGAAAUUCGUAGAUAUUCGGAGGAACACCAGUGGCGAAGGCGGCUCACUGGCUCGGUACUGACGCUGAGGCGCGAAAGCUAGGGGAGCGAACGGG
rnacentral:rRNA from 1 species